AGAGUUUGAUCAUGGCUCAGGAUGAACGCUAGCGGCAGGCCUAACACAUGCAAGUCGAGCGGGAUUAGAUUUUAGCUUGCUAGGAUCUAUGAGAGCGGCGCACGGGUGCGUAACGCGUAUGCAACCUACCCUUUGCUGGGGGAUAGCCCGGAGAAAUUCGGAUUAAUACCCCAUAGUAUCACUGAUUCGCAUGUUUUAGUGAUUAAAGGUUACGGCAAAGGAUGGGCAUGCGUCCCAUUAGCUAGAUGGUGAGGUAACGGCUCACCAUGGCGACGAUGGGUAGGGGGCCUGAGAGGGUGGUCCCCCACACUGGUACUGAGACACGGACCAGACUCCUACGGGAGGCAGCAGUGAGGAAUAUUGGUCAAUGGGCGCAAGCCUGAACCAGCCAUGCCGCGUGCAGGAAGACGGUCCUAUGGAUUGUAAACUGCUUUUAUUUGGGAAUAAACUCCGGUACGUGUACCGGCCUGAAGGUACCAAAUGAAUAAGCACCGGCUAACUCCGUGCCAGCAGCCGCGGUAAUACGGAGGGUGCAAGCGUUAUCCGGAAUCCUUGGGUUUAAAGGGUCC
rnacentral:rRNA from 1 species